rnacentral:rRNA from 1 species
GAUGAACGCUAGCUACAGGCUUAACACAUGCAAGUCGAGGGGCAGCAUUUUUAUAGCAAUAUAAAAGAUGGCGACCGGCGCACGGGUGAGUAACACGUAUCCAACCUGCCGAUAACUCGGGGAUAACCCUUCGAAAGAAGGCCUAAUACCCGAUGGCAUAUCCCUUCCGCCUGGUGGGGAUAUUAAAGAACUUCGGUUAUCGAUGGGGAUGCGUUCCAUUAGCUUGUUGGCGGGGUAACGGCCCACCAAGGCUUCGAUGGAUAGGGGUUCUGAGAGGAAGGUCCCCCACAUUGGAACUGAGACACGGUCCAAACUCCUACGGGAGGCAGCAGUGAGGAAUAUUGGUCAAUGGACGAGAGUCUGAACCAGCCAAGUAGCGUGAAGGAUGAAGGUCCUAUGGAUUGUAAACUUCUUUUAUACGGGAAUAAAGUGCAGUAUGCAUACUGUUUUGUAUGUACCGUAUGAAUAAGGAUCGGCUAACUCCGUGCCAGCAGCCGCGGUAAUACGGAGGAUCCGAGCGUUAUCCGGAUUUAUUGGGUUUAAAGGGAGCGUAGGCGGAUGCUUAAGUCAGUUGUGAAAGUUUGCGGCUCAACCGUAAAAUUGCAGUUGAUACUGGGCGUCUUGAGUACAGUAGAGGCAGGCGGAAUUCGUGGUGUAGCGGUGAAAUGCUUAGAUAUCACGAAGAACUCCGAUUGCGAAGGGAGCCCUGCUGCAUGUCACUGACGCUGAU